rnacentral:misc_RNA from 1 species
GGAAGGAUCAUUAUUGAACAGAGAAGAGGGGGCAAGAUGGAGAGUCAAAGAGACUGUUGCUGGCACUCUUGAGUGUAUGUGCACGUCCCUCAACUUGAUGUCAGACCCCUCAUCUCAUCCUCAUCUCACACCUGUGCACUUUUUGUAGGCCCUCGAAAGAGGAUCUAUGUCUUUAUUACAUCACACCCGUCGUAUGUCUAGAAUGUCUACAUCGUGUGUCAUAGACCCAUCGGAAGGCGGAUUGGUUGAUGCAUGAUAAUAAAUUACAACUUUCAGCAACGGAUCUCUUGGCUCUCGCAUCGAUGAAGAACGCAGCGAAUUGCGAUAAGUAAUGUGAAUUGCAGAUUUCCAGUGAAUCAUCGAAUCUUUGAACGCACCUUGCGCUCCUUGGUAUUCCGAGGAGCAUGCCUGUUUGAGUGUCACUUUAUUAUCAACCAUGCCUUGAUCGAUUUCAAGUGCAUGGCUUGGAUAUGGGGGCUGCUGGCUGUGAAAGCGGUCAGCUCUCCUUAAAUGCAUUAGCAAGGGGGUGUGCCAUGGUCUUUUGGAUGUGCACGGCCUUCAACGUGAUAAUGAUCGUUGUGGCUGGAGCGUCUGUCUUGGAGCAUGGAUGAACAGCCUGUUUUGCUUCUAAUCCAGACUCUCUUGUCUUGUCUUGCCAGCCAGAGGCACUGCUAGCUAUUAGUCCCACCAGCUUACUAGUUAGUCUAUUAAGACCAUGCGCUUGCAUGGGAUGAACGACAAGCCAGCAAAAAGGGGGGUGAACGCAGCAAGGCAGAUGGCAAUAAAGCUAGACUUGAGAUCAUAUUCAUUGACUUGACCUCAAAUCAGGUAGGACUACCCGCUGAACUUAAGCAUAUCAAUAAGCGGAGGAAAAGAAACUAACAAGGAUUCCCCUAGUAACUGCGAGUGAAGCGGGAAAAGCUCAAAUUUUGAAUCUGGCGGUCAUUGGGCCGUCCGAGUUGUAAUCUAGAGAAGCGUCUUCCGCGCUGGACCGUGUACAAGUCUCCUGGAAGGGAGCGUCAUAGAGGGUGAGAAUCCCGUCUUUGACACGGACUGCCAGGGCUAUGUGAUGCGCUCUCGACGAGUCGAGUUGUUUGGGAAUGCAGCUCAAAAUGGGUGGUAAAUUCCAUCUAAAGCUAAAUACAGGCGAGAGACCGAUAGCGAACAAGUACCGUGAGGGAAAGAUGAAAAGAACUUUGGAAAGAGAGUUAAACAGUACGUGAAAUUGCUGAAAGGGAAACGCUUGAUGUCAGUCACGUUGACCAGGGAUCAACCUUGCUUCUCGCUGGGUGCACUUCCUGGUUGACGGGUCAGCAUCAGUUUCGAUCGCCGUACAAGGGCCAAGGGAAUGUGGCACUCUUCGGAGUGUGUUAUAGCCCAUGGUCGUAUGCGUUGAUGGGGACUGAGGAACUCGGCACGACUUUUGUCUGUGUCAAGGAUGCUGGCAUAAUGGCCUUAAGCGACCCGUCUUGAAACACGGACCAAGGAGUCUAACAUGCCUGCGAGUGUUUGGGUGGCAAACCCGAGCGCGAAAUGAAAGUGAAAGUCGAGACCUCUGUCGUGGAGGGCACCGACGCCCGGACCUGAGUCUUUGACGACGGAUCUGCGGUAGAGCAUGUAUGUUGGGACCCGAAAGAUGGUGAACUAUGCCUGAAUAGGGUGAAGCCAGAGGAAACUCUGGUGGAGGCUCGUAGCGAUUCUGACGUGCAAAUCGAUCGUCAAAUUUGGGUAUAGGGGCGAAAGACUAAUCGAACCAUCUAGUAGCUGGUUCCUGC